rnacentral:SRP_RNA from 1 species
GCUGGGCAUGCUCAUGUGUACUGAUAGUCCCAGCUACUUAGGAGGCUGAGGCAGGAGGAUCGCUUAAGCCCAGGAGUUCUGGGUUGUAGUAUUCUGUGCCAGCUGGGUGUCCACACUAAAUUUGACAUCAGUGUGGUGACCUCCCAGGAGCAGGGGACCACCAGGUGACCUGGCCCAGGUUAGAAAUGCAGCAGGUCAAAAUUUCCACGCUGAUCAGUGGUGGUACUGCACCUGUGAAUAGCCAUUCUAUCCUGGCAACACAAGGAUACCCCGUCUCUG